GCAUAACAAUAUGCAAAUGCAUAUGCAAAACUUCCCCACUUACAACUGCAUAUAGAGAAAAAUCAGCCUCGUGCACUGAGAGCUCUGUAGAAUUUAACACUGCAUUUAGUUCAACGAUGUUCCUUCAAUUUCUGCUGCUGCUGGCAGCUUCAUCCUAUGUGGGAUGUGCAGUAGAACUCACUCAGGUCACCUCAGUGAUGUUAAAGCCAGGAGAUUCUUUAACCCUCAGCUGUAAAGUAUCCAGCUACUCUGUUACUGAUAACAGCUACGCCACAGCUUGGAUUCGACAACCUGCAGGAAAAACUCUGGAUUGGAUAAACUACAUUUGGGGUGGUGGAAGUACUUAUCAUAAAGAUUCUCUAAAAAGCAAGUUCAGUAUUUCUAAAGAUGGCUCCAGCAGCACGGUGACUCUGAGAGGACAGAAUCUGCAGACAGAAGACACAGCUGUGUAUUACUGCACCCGCCACACACACUGAUGCUUCUACUUGGGUGUCAAUACAAAAACAUGUGCGUGAUCCUCACACACUGAGCUCAUAUUUUCAUCAUCAGUGUAUUAGAUCUAAGGAACAUUGAGACUAAUACUGAACUCUAUAACUGUCCUCUCUGCUUAGAAGAACAUCUGGAAUAAGCAACAUUUUCUGAAAUCUCACCUCUGUAAAAUAAGGAGACUGAUGGGUGUUUCUGAAUUUAAGCAAGAAUGAUAAAGUAUUACAAUAAGCUAAUUAAUAUAAACCUGUGGUGUGCCUUUUUAAAUUGUCAGACCUGCUGUUAUAGAAAAUUAAUCAACACCUUCUGAUUUUGAUUAAAAUUGUAAUUAAUUAGCGCUUUUCGGUCAUACAAUAAAU